rnacentral:rRNA from 1 species
UACGUAGGGCGCAAGCGUUGUCCGGAAUUAUUGGGCGUAGAGAGCUCGUAGGCGGUUUGUCGCGUCUGGUGUGAAAACUCAAGGCUCAACCUUGAGCUUGCAUCGGGUACGGGCAGACUAGAGUGUGGUAGGGGUGACUGGAAUUCCUGGUGUAGCGGUGGAAUGCGCAGAUAUCAGGAGGAACACCAAUGGCGAAGGCAGAUCUCUGGGCCGUAACUGACGCUGAGGAGCGAAAGCAUGGGGAGCGAACAGG